CCGUUGUGAUCAAGGUUUUGAGUUAUCUGAUGACAAAUGGAAAACAAGAAGAUGCCAAGAAAACAGAAAGUGGUCAGGAACGGCACCAACAUGUUCUCGUGUCAACUGCGGAGCACCUACUGUUUCGGGGAACGGCUACUAUACCGGACAGACCACCACCUACGAGUCUAUUAUAGGAUUCGGUUGCAACGACAGCUAUUACAUUGACGGUGCUAAGAAAGCCAAAUGUCUCCAUACAAAAGAGUGGGACAAGAAGGCACCAAAAUGCAUCCCGUUUUGUGAGCCUCCUCAACUCACGAAUGGAUACCUUGAAUUUAGCGACAAUAAUGGAGAGCAUGAUGUUAAGAGUACAGUGACGUACCAUUGUGAUCAAGGUUUUGAGUUAUCUGAUGACAAAUGGAAAACAAGAAGAUGCCAAGAAAACAGAAAGUGGU